UGGUGGAGUGAUGAGACCCCGUCCUACUUACUAGACUUGAGAUGAUUUUCAUCUCUUGAAUCUUCUUAGAGGGACAACUGGCGUAAAUCUAGCUACAUGAAAUGGGGCAAUAACA
rnacentral:rRNA from 1 species